AAUCCUUGGACCAUUCUCAAAGUAAUCCUGGGUGACAACAGCAGCCAAAGAUUGACUUUCCAAAACAGACUUCCUGAAUCUGUUAAUGAACUUGUUAGUGAGGUACAAAGACAAUGUGGCCUUAACUCAAACUUCAGAUUACAAUUCAUGGAUGCACUAUUUGGAAAUGAGUUUAUGAAUCUCACUUCAAUAGAUGAAGUACAGAAUAGGGGUACCAUCAGAGUAAUUCCCAGGACAGAAAUCUCACCGUCCACUUCAGUUCCUGCUCCGCACCAGCACGUUCUUGAAGAAUCCUCGACCCUGUCUAGUGGGAAUGUUGAUACUGACAUACUCUCUUCACCAGAGUCAGAGUCUUUCAGCUCAAGGUCAUUUUGGCCCAGUGUCUUCCAUGUUCCUCAGUUUAGGUAUGAUGCCGAACUCAAACUUGAGCAGGGCAAUGCAGCGUACAGAGAAAAGGGUACAUUGCUUAAUCCAGAUCCAAAACUGAAGUCAAAGAUUUUAGAGGGACUGGUGCAAGAAAUAGUCCGCUACAGAGUUUAUGUCACUGAUAAACAGUUUAACAUGGUUGGAGAGGCUCUCAUCUCAAAGCAUCCCUGUCUGACUGAGAAAGGCUCCCUCCCUGGAUAUGCUGGAUGGAAAGCUAGCUUUAAGAAUAAACUUGCAAUCUACCGCACUCACUUGAGGAAGCUGGAGUGUCGCGAGGUGAUGGUAAACUCUCAAGCACAAACCAGAGGGCAAAUCAAGUGCUGCGUUUGGCAUCAAAAAACCAAGGCGAUCCGAAGUGAACUACUGCCCCCCCUAUCCUACCGGAGAAACUGAUGUGAGGCUUGAGAGUGUAAGAGUGGAACUUCUUUCAGAUAUUAAGAAAAGGAACAACCGGGAGAUGGUGAGGAUGAAAAUGGAAAAAACAUUUUCAUAUAGGAGAUAUGAACUGGUUCGUGAUGCACCAAUGCAACAAGACUUCCAGGCAAGGUGGCCAGCGCUGUUUGAUGUAAGCGAGAUAAAUGCAGAAUUCAAGUGCAUUACCACCAUGCCCCUGCAAUCCAGAUUUCUCCCACAGCUAGAUGUGCUGUCUGACAGACCUGUGAAACUAUUUGAAAAAAGAGGAGGACAGAUAGGCAAGCGGCUACAGAGCAUUAUGGCAGACAUGAAUCAAGAUGAUGAUGUUGAUGUUGGGCGGCAAUGUAUACUCAAGAGUCUGUCAAUGAGGAUCCAGAAAAU